UGCUAACACAUGCAAGUCGAUGAUGAAACCGCUUCGGUGGUGGAUUAGUGGCGAACGGGUGAGUAACACGUGGGCAAUCUGCCCUUCACUCUGGGACAAGCCCUGGAAACGGGGUCUAAUACCGGAUAAUACUCCUGCCUGCAUGGGUGGGGGUUGAAAGCUCCGGCGGUGAAGGAUGAGCCCGCGGCCUAUCAGCUUGUUGGUGGGGUAAUGGCCUACCAAGGCGACGACGGGUAGCCGGCCUGAGAGGGCGACCGGCCACACUGGGACUGAGACACGGCCCAGACUCCUACGGGAGGCAGCAGUGGGGAAUAUUGCACAAUGGGCGAAAGCCUGAUGCAGCGACGCCGCGUGAGGGAUGACGGCCUUCGGGUUGUAAACCUCUUUCAGCAGGGAAGAAGCGCAAGUGACGGUACCUGCAGAAGAAGCGCCGGCUAACUACGUGCCAGCAGCCGCGGUAAUACGUAGGGCGCAAGCGUUGUCCGGAAUUAUUGGGCGUAAAGAGCUCGUAGGCGGCUUGUCACGUCGGAUGUGAAAGCCCGGGGCUUAACCCCGGGUCUGCAUUCGAUACGGGCUAACUAGAGUGUGGUAGGGGAGAUCGGAAUUCCUGGUGUAGCGGUGAAAUGCGCAGAUAUCAGGAGGAACACCGGUGGCGAAGGCGGAUCUCUGGGCAUUACUG
rnacentral:rRNA from 1 species